CCACUCUUAAGCACAAUCAAAACUAAGAUGGUAAAAAGAUCAAAUCAAAGAUUCUCUCAUCUCUCUCCCUCUCUCCUUCCAAAGGUCCUUACCAACAAAAUGAUAAGCCCACCACCAAAGAGUCUAGUAGAUGUGUAGCUGCCCCAACAACCAUCUCUCUCCAUAUAUAGGCAUCCGAAAAAUAACAAGAAUACCUUUACAUGAAGCAUACAACUCAAAUACCCCACAGGGGUAAAACCGUCCAACUUUUUAUUAGUAUAUUGGACGGACCCAACGCCUUCACAACUUUGC
rnacentral:lncRNA from 1 species